rnacentral:siRNA from 1 species
AAAGCAGCUAGCAUAGGUUCGAU